rnacentral:rRNA from 1 species
UAGUCAUAUGCUUGUCUCAAAGAUUAAGCCAUGCAUGUCUAAGUAUAAACAAAUUAUACUGUGAAACUGCGAAUGGCUCAUUAAAUCAGUUAUAGUUUAUUUGAUGAUUGCUUACUACAUGGAUAACUGUGGUAAUUCUAGAGCUAAUACAUGCAUUAAAGCCCUGACUUUUGUGGGAGGGGUGUAUUUAUUAGAUUUGAAACCAAUUUUUUUGGUGAUUCAUAAUAACUGCUCGAAUCGCAUGCCCUUGUGGCGGCGAUGCUUCAUUCAAAUAUCUGCCCUAUCAACUUUUGAUGGUAGGAUAGAGGCCUACCAUGGUUUUGACGGGUAACGGGGAAUUAGGGUUCGAUUCCGGAGAGAGGGCCUGAGAAACGGCCCUCACACCUAAGGGAGGCAGCAGGCGCGCAAAUUAUCCAAUCCCGACACGGGGAGAUAGUGACAAGAAAUAACAAUACAGGGCUCUUUUGGGUCUUGUAAUUGGAAUGAGUACAAUUUAAAAACCUUAACGAGGAUCAAUU